UACAGGGGGGGCAAGCGUUGUUCGGAAUUACUGGGCGUAAAGGGCUCGUAGGUGGCCAACUAAGUCAGACGUGAAAUCCCUCGGCUUAACCGGGGAACUGCGUCUGAUACUGGAUGGCUAGAGUUUGGGAGAGGGAUGCGGAAUUCCAGGUGUAGCGGUGAAAUGCGUAGAUAUCGUAAGGAAGACCAGUGGCGAAGGCGGGUCUCUGGACAGUUCCUGACGCUGAGGCACGAAGGCCAGGGGAGCAAACGGG
rnacentral:rRNA from 1 species